rnacentral:rRNA from 1 species
UACGUAGGGUGCGGAGCGUUAAUCGGAAUUACUGGGCGUAAAGCGUGACGCAGGCGGUUCGGUUGUGUCCGUCGUGAAAGGCCCGGGCUUAACCUGGGAACUGCGAUGGAAACUAGCGAGCUGGAGUGUGGCAGAGGGGGGUGGAAUUCCGCGUGUAGCAGUGAAAUGCGUAGAGAUGCGGAGGAACACCGAUGGCGAAGGCAGCCCCCUGGGCUAACACUGACGCUCAGGCACGAAAGCGUGGGGGAGCGAAUCCGG